AUGGUGGACAGAACCACAUGGCUUGAGUCCUGAACAGAAAAGGGAAAUGUAAUAUUCUGCCAUUUCAAUAUUUCCUAAUGUUGGAAGGAAAAGGUUUCCGGUCCGUUCCCAGCUGGGAGUCAACACCGAUGCUAAAAGAAAGUUUCGUGAAGACAGCUGCCUGGAAGUUAUGAGUUUUAUUGAAGAAAGAAAGAACGGGAAGGAUGAGACACAGCUCCGUCAUUCCCGGGUCUGCAACUCCCUAUAUACAGUUUGGUUUCCCCUUUUAUACAGUUUUUCUUACUUCAGGCUAUUGUGUAAAUUUUGAUUUUAUAAAGUUAUUUUAUUCCA